rnacentral:rRNA from 1 species
UACGUAGGGUGCGAGCGUUGUCCGGAAUUAUUGGGCGUAAAGAGCUCGUAGGCGGUGUGUCACGUCGGCCGUGAAAACCUGCAGCUUAACUGUGGGCGUGCGGUCGAUACGGGCAUCACUGGAGUUCGGCAGGGGAGACUGGAAUUCCUGGUGUAGCGGUGAAAUGCGCAGAUAUCAGGAGGAACACCGGUGGCGAAGGCGGGUCUCUGGGCUGACACUGACGCUCAUGCACGAAAGCGUGGGGAGCAAACAGG